UUGAACGCUGGCGGAAUGCUUUACACAUGCAAGUCGAACGGCAGCACGGGGGCAACCUUGGUGGCGAGUGGCGAACGGGUGAGUAAUACCUAGGAACAUGUCCAGUAAUGGGGGAUAACGCAGCGAAAGCUGUGCUAAUACCGCAUACGUCCUGAGGGAGAAAGCAGGGGAUCGCAAGACCUUGCGCGAUUAGAGCGGCCGAUGUCGGAUUAGCUAGUUGGUGGGGUAAAGGCCUACCAAGGCAACGAUCCGUAGCUGGUCUGAGAGGAUGAUCAGCCACACUGGGACUGAGACACGGCCCAGACUCCUACGGGAGGCAGCAGUGGGGAAUUUUGGACAAUGGGCGCAAGCCUGAUCCAGCAAUUCCGCGUGAGUGAAGAAGGCCUUCGGGUUGUAAAGCUCUUUCGGCAGGGAAGAAACGGCAGGCUCUAACAUAGCCUGCUAAUGACGGUACCUGAAGAAGAAGCACCGGCUAACUACGU
rnacentral:rRNA from 1 species